rnacentral:rRNA from 1 species
GUAAUACGUAGGGGGCGAGCGUUGUCCGGAUUUACUGGGCGUAAAGGGUGAGUAGGCGGUUAUAUAUGUCAGGUGUAAAAAGCUAUGGCUUAACCAUAGUAAGCACUUGAAACUGUAUGACUUGAGUGCAGGAGAGGUAAGCGGAAUUCCUAGUGUAGCGGUGAAAUGCGUAGAUAUUAGGAGGAACACCGGUGGCGAAGGCGGCUUACUGGACUGUAACUGACGCUGAGUCACGAAAGCGUGGGUAGCAAACAGGAUUAGAUACCCUGGUAGUCCACGCCGUAAACGAUGAGUGCCUAGGUGUUGGGCAGCAAUGCUCAGUGCCGAAGUADDCACAAUAAGCACUCCGCCUGGGGAGUACGUAC